UACGUAGGGUCCGAGCGUUGUCCGGAAUUACUGGGCGUAAAGAGCUCGUAGGUGGUUUGUCGCGUUGUUCGUGAAAACUCACAGCUCAACUGUGGGCGUGCGGGCGAUACGGGCAGACUGGAGUACUGCAGGGGAGACUGGAAUUCCUGGUGUAGCGGUGAAAUGCGCAGAUAUCGGGAAGAACACCCGUGGCGAAGGCGGCUCUCUGGAACGCAACUGACGCUGAGACGGCGAAAGCGUGGGGAGCAAACGGG
rnacentral:rRNA from 1 species